CACGAACGCUGGCGGCAGGCUUAACACAUGCAAGUCGAGCGCCCCGCAAGGGGAGCGGCAGACGGGUGAGUAACGCGUGGGAAUCUACCCAUCUCUACGGAAUAACGCAUGGAAACGUGUGCUAAUACCGUAUACGUCCUUCGGGAGAAAGAUUUAUCGGAGAUGGAUGAGCCCGCGUUGGAUUAGCUAGUUGGUGGGGUAAAGGCCUACCAAGGCGACGAUCCAUAGCUGGUCUGAGAGGAUGAUCAGCCACACUGGGACUGAGACACUGCCCAGACACCUACGGGUGGCUGCAGUCAUGAAUAUUCCUCAAUGGGCGAAAGCCUGAAGGAGCGACGCCGCGUGCAGGAAGAAGCCUCUCGGGGUGUAAACUGCUUUUCUGCGGGACGAACAAAUGACGGUACCGCAGGAAUAAGUGGUUGCUAACUCUGUGCCAGCCGCCGCCGUAACAC
rnacentral:rRNA from 1 species